UACGAAGGGGGCUAGCGUUGCUCGGAAUUACUGGGCGUAAAGCGCACGUAGGCGGCUCUUUAAGUCAGGGGUGAAAUCCUGGAGCUCAACUCCAGAACUGCCUUUGAUACUGAAGAUCUUGAGUUCGGGAGAGGUGAGUGGAACUGCGAGUGUAGAGGUGAAAUUCGUAGAUAUUCGCAAGAACACCAGUGGCGAAGGCGGCUCACUGGCCCGGAUACUGACGCUGAGGCACGAAAGCGUGGGGAGCAAACAGG
rnacentral:rRNA from 1 species